GAUGAACGCUGGCGGCGUGCCUAAUACAUGCAAGUCGAGCGAACGGACGAGAAGCUUGCUUCUCUGAUGUUAGCGGCGGACGGGUGAGUAACACGUGGAUAACCUACCUAUAAGACUGGGAUAACUUCGGGAAACCGGAGCUAAUACCGGAUAAUAUUUUUAACCGCAUGGUUCAAAAGUGAAAGGCGGUCUUGCUGUCACUUAUAGAUGGAUCCGCGCUGCAUUAGCUAGUUGGUAAGGUAACGGCUUACCAAGGCAACGAUGCAUAGCCGAACUGAGAGGGUGAUCGGCCACACUGGAACUGAGACACGGUCCAGACUCCUACGGGAGGCAGCAGUAGGGAAUCUUCCGCAAUGGGCGAAAGCCUGACGGAGCAACGCCGCGUGAGUGAUGAAGGUCUUCGGAUCGUAAAACUCUGUUAUUAGGGAAGAACAUAUGUGUAAGUAACUGUGCACAUCUUGACGGUACCUAAUCAGAAAGCCACGGCUAACUACGUG
rnacentral:rRNA from 1 species